AUGGAAAAUUUUGUAGGGCUCUCAAGAGUGUUGUUCAAAACAAAACGGGUUAAUGGUGUUUUCCUGAAGAAGAAGAAAUGGGGCUUUAUGUUGCCUUUACAGAUACAGAGACCUUCAAGACUGAGAAACUGAAAGAGCUAAAAUGAAUGGAUUUUAGGCCAGCCUAAGGUUGACUUCAUCUCACUGCAAUGGUCACUGAAAUUUAAGCAUGUCCUUAAUGUGGUUUGCCUCUCUUGCCCUACUACUGCUGCUGGCUGGCCUGUGAAAGAACACAAACCAGAAAGAAUUACUGGGUCGGACUAAAACCUGCAAUUAGUCAGAAGUAGGGGCACAUACUGUGCAUACGUGAAGCCU
rnacentral:lncRNA from 1 species